rnacentral:lncRNA from 1 species
UAGUUCAAAAUGCAUAGUUCAAAAUGCAGUGCUUUAUCUUAAAAGUUUUGUUACAGAGUGAUUAAGAAAUAAUGUUUAAUUUUAUUAAAAUAAUCGAGAAAAGAAAAAUAUAUUAUAAAUAUAAUAUUUUCAAAACCAGUAAUCAUAAAAAGAAGCUCAAGAGAAAGGAAAAUUCUACAAGAAAGAAGACUCUCCAAGAAGAGCAUAUUUGCAUUGGAUGCAGUGUUAUUUUCCAACAUAGAAGUUAAUGCUGUAGUCUACAUGAAUCUACAAACAUGAUCAAACAUCUUCAACGGUAACACAUUGAAGAAAAAUAUCCUGCUGGCACGAAGAAGAGUUUCUACUAUGGAAUGGAAACUGAUAAGGAUUCCAAGGUUCUCUAAUGUUCAGCGAAUGAAAAAAGAAGACGAGAUGACUUUCUCCGUAAGCUGCAGAGGAAAGGAGAAUCCCUAAUGGCAGGAAACAAAACUGUACAAUUGGUAUGUUAGAAAUUUUUCAAAUAUUCUUUCAGAGAUAAUGGUGGUUCGAUAUGCAAAUAAUAUUUGCAAUAUUUACAAAGUCUUACUCUCAUAAAUGCUGAAAGUAUCGAAACAAGUAUGGAAAUAUUUUCAGGAAUUUUACAAAGUCUGCGAUAGCACUUAGUUCUUACUAAAAUGAAAUUUUAAUAUUUAAGAAUUGAAUCUCAUCAUUAGAAUAAAAUUUUAAUAUUAAGAAAUAGUAUUAGGUAUAAAUAAAUCAUAAAUUAAAUUUUAGAAAACGCAUUACUAUAAUUUAAAAAAUAUUCUUAAAAAACAUAACGAGGAUAUUAUCCAUAAUUAAUUAUAAGAUAAAAUAAUAAAAAAUCUAGUUAACUAAUAAUCGUAUAAACAAAUAAGUAUAAGUAAAAACAUAGUAUUAUUUUUUAAUUAGAUAAUAGUUUAGUAUUAGUUUAGUAUUUAGUAUAUCACAGCUUCUCAAAUCCCGUUUAUUCUAACAAAUAUUUUUAUAAGCCUGAAUGUAGAUUCUACACUUUCUUCUCUUUUACUAUAAUAAACUCACAGACAUAUCAUACGCGUAGUUUUGUUAAAUUGGUUUAGGAUUAAUUUUCGGUUUUCGCACGUCUAAAAAAUGUUUAAUUCUGCUGCAAUUUCUGUGACUUUUAAACUUAGUUACUCGCGAUUCACACUUUAAGAAGCCUGGACAUUUAUGACAUUUAAAUAAUAUAUUUGUAGUAAUAAUUUUAUUAUUAGAGAAUUUAUUUUAUACAUAUCAAUCUACCUAGAUUUCAAUUUAUAUUAAAACAUAUAUUUACAUUUUUAGUUAGAGAAUAGGUGAACAUGAACGCGGACAUUGUAUAUAAAAUAAAUUAUAUACAAGAUAGAAUUAGGAAUUUAUAAUAACUCAACAUACAUUAAUAAAAACAAAGAUUGUUAAAUAAAAUCAAAAUGAAAAUAUUUCCUGUAUGCAUUAUCUCAGGUUUAUAUAAAUUUAAUCGUUAUAAUUAUAGAUUUACAAAAAUGCAUGAACAUCAAAUUAAUAUAAAAAAAAAGAAAUAGGAAUAUAUUUUAUUUAAAAUGAAUUAUUUCAUUUCGUUCUUACGAUUAUUGUUUUAGACAAUAAAAAGAGUAUUUAUUUUUUUAUCCUAAAAAAAUAGAAAGAGAGUAGUCAAGCUGUAGGAUAGCUGUUUGCAUUACCGAGUCGUACGCUUGAAUGAUGCAGUAGCACGUUGACCUCAACUCAAGGUUAAGUUUACUAUCAUCUCGUGUUUUAUUAAUGCUGUUGCUUGUCCUACUAUCCAUUCUCAAUCUAAUACGGAAAAUAAAAAAUAAAAAUAGAAUUUUAUUUUUAACUGAUAACACAAUUAGUAUUUUAAAUAUAGAGAGAAAAUAUUAAAAUAAAAUAAUUAAAUUUUAAUAUCGCGCGAUAGAUAAAUAACUAGAGUGCCUAUUUUAAUUUUUACGUUUCUUUUUAAUCUUUUUAGCGAACUUGAUAUCGUUUAAACAGCGACGAUAUUCGUAAUAUUAAAUGAGAAUUCAUUUAGCAAGUUAAUUUAAUGAACAAAAUCCUUUUAUUCAAUUCGAGAGUAUAUAAAAUUGUUAUUAUAAUUUUAGUUUAUCUUGAUUAAAACAUUAAUUAAUAGAAUAUAUUAUCAAAACGCGCACACCCACACACGUACACGAGAAUUUCCAAUGUUAAAUACUAUCAAACGUGUAAUCAGUUUAAAUCAAAUAUUUUAUUUUCCGUAUUGAUUAUCGAUUAUGAGAUGAUAAUUUGAUAAUAAUUUAAUCGAGUACAAACACGUGUCAACGAAAUACAUAAAUUACGUUUUUGUUUUCAUUAUUAACAAGAUCUUUAAUCGAGUAAACCUCAAAAUACUUUUGUAAAUAAUUUUCAAUCGUACGAUUUAUAUCGAUUUAACCAUGCAAAUACAAAUUCAUAUUAAAAUGAUAUAAAUAAUAUACUUUGAUUAUAUGCGCGAAGCUAUUACGGAUUAUUAAAAUGAUUGAAUAUCGUAUUAACAAAAAAAGAAUUUUAAAUGUUCGUUCACGUGCAUAAAACGAAACCAUAAAAAUGUUUUCAGAAAUAAAUAUGCGUUUGAUUGAAA